ensembl:lncRNA
AUGGCUUUUCUGACCCUAAAGAUGUCCAGAAAUCACAGGACCACCGACAGAGGGUUACAGAGCUCCUCUCUGCAGCCAAAGUGGGAUGUGGCUGCUCUGAAAACGCCAUCAGGACAGCCCUUCUCAGACAUACACAUGGCCUCAUUCAAGGCUCGUUGGAAACUCAGGCCCCUAAGUCUUCGUAUACCCCAGGGACUUGCCAAGGUCAUGUGGCCAGUCUGUGCCAGUGCUUGUCUCCCUUCGAGCUCUUCAAUGGCCUGUCCUGCUGCCCCCAGAACAGCUUCCAGGCUGAGAACUCACCUGGCCCUGGAGGCCCAGCCCUGCCCAGGUAAGGCCAGGUGCACGAGGGGAGCUGAGGGAUGUGGAGGGGGAAAAAGGACAAGGUCAGCUUCACGAUGGUACGGAACCCAGGCUCUGAGGUUGACUGUUGGUGCCCAGACCGCCCAGGGAAGGAACAAGACCUGGGAGUCUGGGAAAGCUUUGGCUUCAAGUUUGGGCGGACGGGCUGGGGCGGGGGCCAGGGCGGGGGGGGAGUGUGUGGAAAGAGGGGAACUGGGCUGCAGCAAAGGCCAGUUUCAGCAUGGCUUGCUCCUCCCUCAACACCCCUGGACCCCGAGACCACUUGCGGCCGAGCUGCUCCCGCCAGCACACGGGGGGUUAACAUCUGUCUGGAGCAGUGACCACAGCAGCAGCAGCCUGCGAUGCCAGUAACUCAGAAGCUGAAAUAACUGAGUCAUGGGAGCCUCCAGCUGCUCCAGAGGCAGGGAGACAAAGCUCCCUGGCCCCUCCCCGGGCUACGCAGCCUGCCUGUGUGCUGAGGACCGCGGCUUCCAGUGCCUGGGAGUGUGUGUGAGGCGCUGGGCACCACGGGAGCCCCUCACCACUCCCCGCCCUUCAUCAGCACCCCCCAACACCGUACCUCAGAGCAUCUGCAGGUAUCACUGUGACCCCCACACAGAUGAGCAAACACAAGCUCAGAGAGAUUCAGAAAUUUGUCCGAAGUCACACAGCCCGAGAGGCAAAGCUGAUGUGACCUCCGGGCUUGUUUGACAGCAAUUAACCCGCCGUGCCUCGCGCCGGGCCGGCGAGAGGAGCAAAGUCCGCCGGCAGGUGACCCAGGGCUGUGUGCCAAGUCCAAGAAGGCAAGAGAUGAAAGGUGGCCCGGGAGCCCCAGGAAAGAUGCUGCAGGUGAGGUUUGGGGCUCAGGAACCCGAGAGGUGGUACAGGCUGGGAGCAGCAUCCAGAGGGAGCCAGAGAAGGUCUGGUCCUGCACUGCUCGUGGAGGAGGACUCGAUGGCAGGCAGGAGGGACCUCCCGUAACCCCUUAAGAUGCAUCCCCUGGAGCCACAGUGUCACCCCCGAGCAGGUGACCCACUCACCUUGACAGAUCAAGGGCACUUCUGGGGCGUGAUGUUUGCACAGCCCUCGUUUGAAGAGGCAGCAACUUUACUGCAGGAUGGCAUCGGCCAGGGCUCUGCUAAAAAUGUACAGAAGCACUGAAGCAGGUUCCACUGGAGCCUACUGGCCAGGGGACAGGAGGGUCCCAGCUCCAUAGUUCCCAGUGUGACACAGAUUCACCUCUCUGAGCCUUGGUUUCCUCACCUGCAGAAAGGAGAACUUGCCAGCACCAACACGCAGGGCUUCUGUGAGCAUGAAAUGAGGUGUUGGCCAAAAAGCACUUAGAAGCCUUCCUCCUUCCUCAAAAACUUGUCCCCGCAUGUUCAUAGCAGCAUUAUUCACAAAAAGUAGAGCCAACCCAAAUGUCCUCUGACGGAUGAAUGGAUAAAUACGUGCAGAUCUAGCCAGACAAAUGGAAUAUUAUUCAGCAAUGAAAAGGAAUGAGAGUUCCUGUCGUGGCUCAGUGGAAACAAAUCUGACUAAUAUCCACAGGACGCAGGUUCGAUCCCUGGUCUCGCUCAGUGGCUUAAGGAUCUGGUGUUGCUGUGAGCUGUGGUGUGGGUUGAAGAUGCAGCUCGGAUCUGGCAUGGCUGUGGCUGUGGUGUAGGCCAGCGGCUACAGCUCCGAUUUGACCCCUGGCCUGGGAACCUCCAUAUGCUGCAGGUGUGGCCCUAAAAACCAAAAAACUAAAAAAUAAAAAUAAAUUUAAAAAAAAAUGAAUGAAGCACUGACACACGUGACAAUGGGGAUGAACCUUGAAAACAGAAUGUUCCGUGAAAGAAGGCAGACACAAAGGACCACAUACUGUGGGACUCCAUAUAUAUGAAAUGUCCAGAACAGGCAAAAUCUGUGGUCAGGAAGCAGACUACUCGUUGCCAGUGGCUGGGAUAGAGAGCCAUGGAGGAAUGGGGAGUGGCUGACAAUGGGUUCAGGGUUUUUGUUUGCUUUUGUUUUUGUUUUUGUUUUUUGUUUUUGUCUUUUCCAGGCCCACACCCUCGGCAUAUGGAGGUUCCCAGGCUAGAGGUCUAAUCAGAGCUAUAGCUGCUGGCCUACGCCACAGCCACAGCAAUGCCAGAUCCGAGCCAUGUCUGCCACCUGCAACACCGGAUCCUUAACCCACUGGGCAAGGCCAGGGAUCGAACCCACAACCUCAUGGUUCCUAGUCGGAUUCGUUAACCACUGACCCACAACAGGAACUCCUGUUUUUGUUUUUAAUCAAUGUUUUAAGCGGUUUUAAGUUCAAGGCAAUAUUGAGCAAACGUACAGAGAGUGUGCAUACCCCUCCCACCCCAUGUGUGUACAGCCCCGUGAUCAAAUCCUCCACGUGAAUGGCACAUUUGUUACAAGUGAUGACUACACUAGGGCUCCUUCAAGGGGAUGAUAAAAAUGUUCUGGAGUCAGAUAGUGGAGAUGGACGCAAAAUUCUGUGAAUAUACUAAAACCCGCUGGGCUGUACACUUUCUGUUUGUUUGUUUUUUAGGGCCACACUCGCAGCAUAUGGAGGUUCCCAGGCUAGGGGUCAAAUCGGAGCUACAGCUGCCGGACUACACCACAGCUCACAGCAAUGCCGGAUCCUUAACCCACUGAGCGAGGCCAAGUAUCGAACCCGCAUCCUCAUGGAUCCUAGUUGGGUUUGUUAAGUGCUGAGCCACGAAGGGCACUCAUGGGUUGUACACUUUAAAAGGGAUGAAUUUGGAGUUUCCAAAUUCACAGGAGUGCAGCCAAAAAAAAAAAAAAAAAGAUGAAUUUGGAGUUCCCGCCAUGGUACAGUGGGUUAAGAAUGGGACUAGUACGCGUGAGGAUGCAGUUUUGAUCUCUGGCCUCACUCAGUGGAUUAAGGAUCCAGCAUUGCAGUAAGCUGCCGAGAAGUUCACAGAGGCAGCUUGGAUCCGGUGUUGCUGUGGCUGUGGCAUAGUCUCCAGCUAUAGCCCUGAUUCGACCCCUAGCCCAGGAACUUCCAUCUACUGCAGGUGUGACCAUAAAAUUAACUUUUUUUUAAAAAAAGGUGAAUUUUAUGGCAUGUGAAUUGUAUCUCAAUUUUUAAAAAGCGCUUAUUUAGUAAGAGCUCAGAAAACGUGGUUCUCAUUACUAUAUGCUUCGGCUUCGGAGACUCUGUCAUAUAACAGAAGAGACUAGAUCAACACAUUGAAAAAUAUUUGAUACCCGGAAGAAAGCGGGGUAGCCUGGUCUUGGCAGCCUGGGAUGACUGUCACAGAGCCACGGUCAGGGCGCGCAGGACAGGACCGAGUGACCCACGCAGCAGCCCUGAUUGCCGCAUCUGUGGUUCUGCACACAGGUACUGAACCCACCUCGCCCAGAGGAGAAUAACCAUGUGUGUGGGGGGGAAUCCUGGGAGGUGGCUUUGGAGGGCUGGGCGGUUUGCUGGCGGUUUGCAGGCACCUCGGAAGCACCCAGAGGGAUGUCAGCCAUCAGGGCUGGCAGGAGCAGAGGGCGCUGAACUGGGGGACACUCCUUCCCAAGCAGAGUCUGGGGGGUCCCUCACUUCCGGCUCACGGUUCACACACACAGCUGCAGAAAGCCUGCAGGAGGCUGGUCCUCCACCCUUCCAGAAACCCCAGCUUUCUCCUGAGGCAUCCAAGACAAUGGGACCUCUCUGAGCACCAGGCUUCCUCUUCUGAGAAGCCCCAGGCCUGGCUUCCC